rnacentral:rRNA from 1 species
UACGAGGGGGGCGAGCGUUGUUCGGAAUUAUUGGGCGUAAAGCGCUUGUAGGCCGCACGUCAAGUCGCGUGUGAAAUCCCCAGGCUUAACCUGGGAAGUGCGCGCGAAACUGACGAGCUUGAGUGCCGGAGAGGGUCGCGGAAUUCCCGGUGUAGAGGUGAAAUUCGUAGAUAUCGGGAGGAACACCAGUGGCGAAGGCGGCGACCUGGACGGACACUGACGCUGAGACGCGAAAGCGUGGGGAGCAAACAGG